CCUACGGGUGGCAGCAGUCGAGAAUCAUUCACAAUGGGGGAAACCCUGAUGGUGCGACGCCGCGUGGGGGAAUGAAGGUCUUCGGAUUGUACACCCCUGUCAUGUGGGAGCAAAUUAAAAAGAUAGUACCACAAGAGGAAGAGACGGCUAACUCUGUGCCAGCAGCCGCGGUAAUACAGAGGUCUCAAGCGUUGUUCGGAAUCACUGGGCGUAAAGCGUGCGUAGGCUGUUUCGUAAGUCGUGUGUGAAAGGCGGGGGCUCAACCCGCGGACGGCACAUGAUACUGCGAGACUAGAGUAAUGGAGGGGGAACCGGAAUUCUCGGUGUAGCAGUGAAAUGCGUAGAUAUCGAGAGGAACACUCGUGGCGAAGGCGGGUUCCUGGACAUUAACUGACGCUGAGGCACGAAGGCCAGGGGAGCGAAAGGGAUUAGAUACCCCAGUAGUC
rnacentral:rRNA from 1 species